rnacentral:lncRNA from 1 species
UCAAUUUUCAAAAUUUCAACUUACUUCUGAUCUUAUAUAACUGCAACUGUUAGAGCACAAUACUCUCAGAGGAAUUGAAGCGACCAUGUCACUAAUGAACCGGAGAUGCACCAUUUCCUGUGUAAUGUCAUGAAAAAGCAUUUCUACAAAAAAAGAAGAGCAUUUGUUACAUUCAGUUGCUAGAUCCAAACCAUCAACCUCACUGCUAUGGAAAGUUCAAAGAGGGAUUCACAUUUUUAGCCAAAUAUGGAAAGCCUUUGGCAUUGGUGAAAAGAGAAAAUGCAACUUAACCGGUAAAGUGAACACAUGUUCACUUGGAAAUAAUGGAAAAUUUAGGAAUGACAUAUGGAAAGCCGAGUGGAAAUAAACACAGCCUAAAGUUAAAGUAACCAGGGCAAGGAAAAGGGACUCCUUUGGGAAGAACAGCUGAUUUAACAUUUUAAAACAAUGCACAGAGGAGAACUGAAGAAAGUCCUAAGAAAAAACAUAAACCAUAAGGACAGCUCUGGAACUGAAUCAUUGAAUUUGGUAUGCACUUUAAGAAAUACAUAAAAGUUGUAUAUAAUAGAUGCAGACUUUCAUACAUAUUUUUUCUCUUUUUUUAUACACAGAAACAUUAAAGUUUGCUAACAUCCUUUUCAAUCUCAGAGGGGAAAAAAAGAGUUAGUAUUAAAAUCCUGAAAAAAUAUUU